rnacentral:rRNA from 1 species
AACGAACGCUGGCGGCAUGCCUAACACAUGCAAGUCGAACGAGACCUUCGGGUCUAGUGGCGCACGGGUGCGUAACGCGUGGGAACCUGCCCUUAGGUUCGGAAUAACUCCCCGAAAGGGGUGCUAAUACCGGAUAAUGUCUUCGGACCAAAGAUUUAUCGCCUUUGGAUGGGCCCGCGUUGGAUUAGCUAGUUGGUAGGGUAAAAGCCUACCAAGGCGACGAUCCAUAGCUGGUCUGAGAGGAUGAUCAGCCACACUGGGACUGAGACACGGCCCAGACUCCUACGGGAGGCAGCAGUGGGGAAUAUUGGACAGUGGGCGAAAGCCUGAUCCAGCAAUGCCGCGGGAGUGAUGAAGGCCUUAGGGUGGUAAAGCUCUUUUACCCGGGAUGAUAAGGACAGGACCGGGAGAAUAAGCUCCGGCGAACUCCGG